rnacentral:rRNA from 1 species
UCACNGUCCUCUUCGGAGGCGCGCACACAGGUGCUGCAUGGCUGUCGUCAGCUCGUGUCGUGAGAUGUUGGUUAAGUCCCGCAACGAGCGCAACCCACGUCCUUAGUUGCCAUCAUUCAGUUGGGCACUCUAGGGAGACUGCCGGUGAUAAGCCGCGAGGAAGGUGUGGAUGACGUCAAGUCCUCAUGGCCCUUACGGGAUGGGCUACACACGUGCUACAAUGGCGGUGACAGUGGGACGAAAGGAGCGAUCUGGAGCAAAUCCCCAAAAGCCGUCUCAGUUCGGAUUGCACUCUGCACCUUGGGGCAAAAAGGCGG